UCAGUUUGUAGAAUGCUUGCAUAGCAUAAA
rnacentral:piRNA from 1 species